GUCUGUGUGGCUCAGUCGGGAAAAUAACCGACUAUGGUGCGGUGGAACUCGGGUUCGAGCCCCGGCGAAUGGCAUGGAUA